GGCUACACACGUGCUACAAUGGGUAGUACAGAGAGUCGCAAAGCCGCGAGGUGGAGCUAAUCUCAGAAAACUAUUCUUAGUUCGGAUUGUACUCUGCAACUCGAGUACAUGAAGUUGGAAUCGCUAGUAAUCGCGAAUCAGCAAUGUCGCGGUGAAUACGUUCUCGGGUCUUGUACACACCGCCCGUCAACACCACGAGAGUUGGUUGCACCUGAAGUAGCAGGCCUAACCGUAAGGAGGGAUGCUCCGAGGGUGUGAUUAGCGAUUGGGGUGAAGUCGUAACAAGGUAUCCGUACGGGAACGU
rnacentral:rRNA from 1 species